rnacentral:lncRNA from 1 species
GUCGGAGUUGGUGACAGAGCCCGGCUCCCGUAGGAGUCCGGGCGGAGUUCGCUUGCAGUCGGAGUUGGGGACGAGGCCCGGCUCCCGUAGGAGUCCGGGCGGAGUCCGCUUGCAGUUGGAGUUGGGGACGAGGCCCGGCUCCCGUAGGAGUCCGGGCGGAGUUUACCUGCAAUCAAAGUCGGGGCAAAGUCCGGCUCCCGUAGGAGUCCGGACGGAGCUUACCAGCGGUCGGAGUUGGUGACAGAGCCCGGCUCCC